UACUUGUUGGGACAGCCUGUCGAUUUGA
rnacentral:sRNA from 1 species